rnacentral:rRNA from 1 species
ACAAGCAGUGGAGUAUGUGGUUUAAUUCGAAGCAACGCGAAGAACCUUACCAGGGCUUGACAUCCCUUGAAGCAGCUAGAGAUAGCUGUGUCCUUCGGGACAAGGAGACAGGUGGUGCAUGGUUGUCGUCAGCUCGUGUCGUGAGACUGUUGGGUUAAGUCCCGCAACGAGCGCAACCCCGCCGUUAGUUGCCAGCGGUUCGGCCGGGCACGUCUAACGGGACUGCCCGCGAAAGCGGGAGGAAGAGGGGACGACGUCUGGUCAGCAUGGCCCUUACGGCCUGGGCGACACACGUGCUACAAUGCCCACUACAAAGCGAUGCCACCCGGCAACGGGGAGCUAAUCGCAAAAAGGUGGGCCCAGUUCGGAUUGGGGUCUGCAACCCGACCCCAUGAAGCCGGAAUCGCUAGUAAUCGCGGAUCAGCCAUGCCGCGGUGAAUACGUUCCCGGGCCUU